ACUCCAGCAGCGCUGCUGUGUCUGAUCCACUCAUACCAGCACAACACACACUAACACACCACCACCAUGUCAGUGUCACUGCAGUGCUGAGAAUCAUCCACCACCUAAAUAAUACCUGCUCUGUGGGGGUCCUGUGGGGGUCCUGACCAUUGACGAACAGCAUGAAAGGGGGUAACAAAGCAUGUAGAGAAACAGAUGGACUACAGUCAGUAAUUGUAGAACUACAAAGUGCUUCUAUAUGGUAAGUGGAGCUGAUAAAAUGGACAGUGAGUGUAGAAACAAGGAGGUGGUUUUAAUGUUAUGGCUGAUCGGUGUGUGUAUAUACUGUAUAUAUAUAUAUAUAUAUAUAUAUACAUAUAGAAGUUCUUGCCUCAUAAUUUCCCCCAAGUCACCAGAAAAUGGUUUGAGCAGAUUGGUUGGUGGAUAUAAAUCCCAGGUUCCUCCCAGCUUGAGCAGACUGGUGGAUUCAAACACACUCUACCAGCGCUUGGCCCAAGGACAGUCCACAGUUUUGGAGUUGUUCCUCAAAACUUCCAGGAUGUUCGCUCUACUUUCCAAACUGCCUGCUGCUGUCUGAGGUUUCUGGUUGAGGAACAAUCGCCGGUUUGAGCAACUUGGGGUUGUGAUGCCUGAUGAGUAAAGGAAUGAGAAAGAGGAAGUGAGGAAGUAACAGCAUCAUGAUGAAAUCAAUUGACGUUCCAAGGGGUUUUCAGCAGGGUUAAAGGUCAGGGCUCUGUCUAGUUCCUCCACACCAGACUUCUCCAAACCAACUUCACUCUAUUGAGCUUGCAUUGACCACUGUACUGGAAAAGGAAAUUACCCUCCCCAGACUGUUGCCACAUAUUUGGAGGCGUAUGAUAUAUUGCUCAUCAUUUAUUUUAGACAUCUGACACAAAUGAGUGUGUCUGAAACGCCUGAACUCACACCCCCACUGACACACCCCCAUACCAUGACACACCCUGGUACUGACACACCCCAUACACUUAUUUAGAUUUAACCUCAUUACUAGCACUAAAUCACCCUCGUCCCAACUUUUUUUGGAAUGUGUUGCAGGCCUGAAAUGCAGGAAUGGACGUUUAUUAAUAAAUGAAAUAAAGUUGAGCAGAUAAAAGAUGAAAUAUCUCAGCUUCAUCCUGUCUGACAUCAAAUAAAAGUCAAUUGCAGUGUGGAAGUUCCUUCAGUCUAUAACAGAAGCUGGAGAGAGAGCUUCUGCUUCUUCUGUCCUCCAUUCACUCACUGUCCUCACAAAGUGGAGAAAAUGAACCUGCUGAAUGCUGUUUUGGUUACUUUAAGUA